GGACAACGGGGAGCGGCCGUGGGUGGGGACACCGCGGUGACAGUGCCACGUGGGGUGGGGACCCCCAAGUGACAGUGCCACGUGGGGUGGGGACAGUGGCACUAUGGGGUGGGGACAUUGCAGUGACAAUGGCACUAUGGGGAUGGGGCCAGUGCCACCAUGGGGUGGGGACCCCCAAGUGACAGGGCCAAGUGGGGUGGGGACCCCCAAGUGACAGGGCCACAUGGGGUGGGGACAGUGGCACUAUGGGGAUGGGGACCCCCAAGUGACAGUGCCACUACGGGGAUGGGGACCCCCAAGUGAUAGGGCCAUGUGGGGUGGAGACCCCCAAGUGACAGUGCCACUAUGGGAUGGGGACCCCUGAGUGACAGUGCCACUAUGGGGUGGGGACAGUGCCACGUGGGGUGGGGACCCCUAGGUGACAGUGCCACUAUGGGGUGGGGACCCCCAGGUCACAGGGCCACUAUGGGGAUGGGGACAGUGGCACUAUGGGGUGGGGACCCCUAAGUGACAGUACCACUGUGGGGUGGGGACAGUGGAACUAUGGGGAUGGGGACCCCCAAGUGCCAGGGCCACUAUGGGGAUGGGACCAGUGGCACUACAGGGAUGGGGACCCCCAAGUGACAGGGCCACGUGGGGAUGGGGACCCCCAAGUGACAGUACCACUAUGGGGUGGGGACGGUGCCAUCAUGGGGUGGGGACCCCCAAGUGACAGUGCCACUAUGGGGAUGGGGACAGUGCCAAAAUGGGGUGGGGACCCCCAAGUGCCAGUGCCACCAUGGGGUGGGGGCCCCCAAGUGACAAUGCUAGUAUGGGGAUGGGGACCCCCAAGUGCCAGUGCCACCAUGGGGUGGGGACCCCCAGGUGACAAUGCUAGUAUGGGGAUGGGGACCCCCAAGUGCCAGUGCCACCAUGGGGUGGGGACCCCCAAGUGACAAU
rnacentral:lncRNA from 1 species